UUGAUCAAAGGGAAUAAAAGAUCAAAGAAAGGGUAGCCCAUUACAUGAAGAUACAAAUCAUUAUUACUUCUUUAAUAUUUUUGACAUUAACAUUAAUCACUAUGAAUUAUAGUAGUGUUCCUUUCGAUGUAAUAUGCAACUUCAAACACAUUUCAUUUUAACACCACCUUAUUGCUCACCACGUUAUUUAAGCAAGUUUUCUUUUUGCACAGUUUUUUCCUCAUUUGCAACCAAAAGGAGAGGGAAGUAGCAUCACGUUUGUAUCUCUGGAGGUUUUGAUCACACAGCUGUGUACCUGUAUCUCCUUCUGCAGCAAAAUACUUAAUAUUUAAUAGACGUGACUGAACUAUGUUCUUUCUUCAAUAAACUACAUUGACUUGAAAGGUAUAUAAAUAUUCAGGAUGUGUGGAAUCAAAGAAGAAUUUGAUAUUUUGGGGGGAAACUUAGAACCACGAAUUAUAAUAUGAUUGUGUACUUGAUUCAAAAAUGUGUGGGAAAAGAUAGAGAGAUACCUUUGAUGUGUCUAUAAAGACAUACAUUUCCUAGCCAAAUGACUGUUUUCCAAGACAGUUUUGAGGAGUUUUUCUAGAGCUAAGUAUGAAAAGAUUCAGUUAUAGAAAUACUUUUUGGAAGAUGGCUGGAAGCAAUUUGUUAUGCCUUUCUACUUAUAUCUCUGGUUAUUUACAACAAAUAGGAUUUUUCUUUCGGUAGGUCAAUUGUUUAGUCAGAUUCAUCCUUAUUUUUGAAUGUUAGCCUGUAUGGUCAGAUAUGACCUCGGAACAAAGUAGAUGAUUGAAAGCUAAAGAGAUUUUAGGGAUUAUCUUGUUUACCUCACUUUCCAGAUGGGAUGCUUAGACCCAGCAGAGAUAAAGGACUUGUCCAAGGACUUCCAGUUGGCCAGUGAC
rnacentral:lncRNA from 10 species